rnacentral:rRNA from 1 species
UACGGAAGGGGCGAGCGUUGUUCGGAAUCAUUGGGCGUAAAGGGCUCGUAGGCGGCCAACUAAGUCAGACGUGAAAUCCCUCGGCUUAACCGGGGAACUGCAUCUGAUACUGGAUGGCUUGAGAUUGGGAGAGGGAUGCGGAAUUCCAGGUGUAGCGGUGAAAUGCGUAGAUAUCUGGAGGAACACCGGUGGCGAAGGCGGCAUCCUGGACCAACACUGACGCUGAGGAGCGAAAGCCAGGGGAGCAAACGGG